rnacentral:rRNA from 1 species
AACGAACGCUGGCGGCGCGCCUAAUACAUGCAAGUCGAGCGAGAAGACGUAGCAAUACGUUUGUAAAGCGGCGAACGGGUGAGGAAUACAUGGGUAACCUACCCUCGAGUGGGGAAUAACUAGCCGAAAGGUUAGCUAAUACCGCGUACGCUCCUUGGACUUCGGUUCAGGGAGGAAAGCGAUACCGUGGGUAUCGCGCUCUUGGAUGGGCUCAUGUCCUAUCAGCUUGUUGGUGAGGAACGGCUCACCAAGGCUUCGACGGGUAGCUGGUCUGAGAGGACGAUCAGCCACACUGGCACUGCGACACGGGCCAGACUCCUACGGGAGGCAGCAGUAAGGAAUAUUGCGCAAUGGGCGAAAGCCUGACGCAGCGACGCCGCGUGGGGGAUGAAGGUCUUCGGAUUGUAAACCCCUUUCGGGAGGGAAGAUGGAACGAGCAAUCGUUCGGACGGUACCUCCAGAAGCAGCCACGGCUAACUUCGUGCCAGCAGCCGCAGU